GUUUCUCAGUGUUCCUUCUGGGCUGCAUGCCGGUCGUUCUUAGAAGGACGGCAAAAGAAAAAACAGAGAACAAGAAAAGUUCAGGGAAGAACAAUUAUGAAAUGAAUGUAAGAGCUACUCUUCUAGAAGUCCCUUUGGAACUGUGGAUUUUAUAGCAUCCAAAUGUUAUUUACAGAACAGAAAACCAGAUUCUGCAACAAUGAGUGAAAAGAGGUGAAAUACAGAUUACAACACCACACCCUUGAAGCUGGUGACCAAGUGAGCAAAGUUCAUCUCUCUCUCUCUCUGCGUGACCAGCUGGUGCAAGCAAGCUGUUUGAGUCCUGCUCCAUUCGAGGUGCUGCAGUGAUAUAUUUUCUGUACGAUAGCUGCAUUGUUCGUGUGACACCUGCCAAACUGGAUGCAGCUGGGCCAGAAGAGGCUGAAGAAGGCAGGAGCCUCUCUAACGGCAGCCAUCCACCCCUUCUUCUCAAUAAAGAGCCAGUUACAUCUGACUCAACCUCCAGCCAGUUCCAGAAUUGGUGUGAUGCUUCCACUCUCACGGGUGAGUAUUAUUCUACUACCUGAAGGCUAAGUUCAGUUUAUAUCUCCUGAAUAGUGAAUAUCUGCCUGCAACAUAGAACAAUGGAGUUUGGUAGUGAUUUCUUCUUCUUAGGAAAUGCUGGGAGCUGUAAUCCAGCAAAAGGGGAUGUGACUUUCAUUAAACUCCCAAGAAUUCCCAAGAUUCUUCUGCCCAAGA